UUCUAGCACUCCAUGAUCCCUUAACAGAUGGAAAGAGACAGCUCAAAGGAGAAAAGGAGUGACUGAGGGGAUUCAAGAAGCAGAAGCACUGGAACAAGGAGAUAAACUAAUCCUUGCUUCCAUCUCCCUUUGUACUCUGGUUAGCCUGGAAGGAGUAGGGAAGAGUUGUCCAAGGGGAGCUAACUUCCUGCAAUUGCAUUGUGACCCACUAAUGAAAUAAUGAUCAUGACUCUCCAUUGAUAUUUUGUUUUGCUUUCAUUGUAUUUUUGGACCUAAUUAUGUAACUUUCACAUUCUUUUAUAUAUUUGUAUACACAAACACCCACACACACAAUAUAUAUAUAUUAUAAGCUAUUCACUAGGAUCUAGUAUCCAGCAGACAAUAGCCAAACAUUUUAAACAGAAAGAUCCUUUCAAAAAGAGAUUGCAACAUCAUCAAUAAGGUGGGAUGCAUUCAGUAAAAAGGUGCAUGAUCCAAGACAUCUGCUGAAUGGACACAUUCCACUACUGAUCUUGGAGAACCUGAUUCCUUCAGAACAACUUCCUCCAGGCACUGACCUCGAGCAAAAAUAUUGGUGUACAGUACUCUUCUUUGUGACAAAUAAAACAAGUUUGGGAUAUUUUAAUCAACCUAUGGCUUUUGGGACUGCCACUUCUGUUUCUUGGGACAUUGGAGAGCUAGGAUGGCAAAGACUCAUGACAAUUUGACCAAGUGGAAGCUGAAGAAUGACCCCAAAUGUGAAUGUGGAGAGCUUACGCAAACACCUGGUCUCUGCCAGAUGGAGUGCCCUCUGUUAAUGUCCUGUACUCCUGAGGAACUAUUCAAAAUAAGUGACAAUACCAGGUCUUGGAUGCUGUUUUGAAGUGACAAGCUAUUAUGAUAAUGACUAAACCUAGCAACAUGUGCCUCCUUCUAUGCAAUUUUUUCUCUCUCACCUCUACUUUCCCAUUUCUAGUCCUCUGUUUCCCAUGCUGCCACAUACCUUCUCUAUAUGCUACACUUCUGCUUUUUCUUUACUUCAUUUUGUUUUUAUGUUUCCCCCUAUUAACAUAUACAUUUCCUACUUUUCUCUCAUUCCUUUCUUCUGGUCCAUUGUCUAGUCACAUCACCUCUUUCUUUUCCUCCCUUACAUUUUGUGUUCUUUUUUAUCCACCAAGUACCCAGUUUCCCUGCUCCCUUUUCCUUUACUCUCUCCAAUUAUGUUUACCAUUCCUUAUAUCUUAGGGUCCCUCUAAAAUGUCCUUUCCACAAUUUCUCCUCAAAUUUUCUCCCUGACUUCUUUCCAGGGCUCCUCUCAGCUUUGGUUACUAAUCAGGCCUCAUGACUUUGAAGAUGAGGCUGGUGGGAGCCUAACAUUGUUAAAAUCUAUACAAAUUGACAAAUUAGAA